ACGCUCGACACCUACGGGAGGAGCAGUGGGGAAUAUUGGGCAAUGGGCGCAAGCCUGACCCAGCAACGCCGCGUGAAGGAAGAAGGCCUCGGGUUGUAAACUUCUUUUAUUCGGGACGAAGCAAGUGACGGUACCGAAUGAAUAAGCCACGGCUAACUACGUGCCAGCAGCCGCGGUAAUCUGAGGCGGGCUGGCAAGGC
rnacentral:rRNA from 1 species